rnacentral:rRNA from 1 species
AACGUAGGGGGCGAGCGUUGUCCGGAAUUACUGGGCGUAAAGAGCUCGUAGGCGGUAGUUCAAGUCAGGUGUGAAAUCCGACGGCUUAACCGUUGAACUGCCUUCGAAACGGCAUGUCUUGAAUGUGGGAGAGGAUGAUGGAAUUCCUGGUGUAGCGGUGAAAUGCGUAGAUAUCAGGAGGAACACCGGUGGCGAAGGCGGUCAUCUGGCCCACUAUUGACGCUGAGGCACGAAAGCGUGGGGAGCAAACAGG